AGGCGCUUGCUGAAGGCCUGUUUCCUAGGCUACAAACGGGGGACGUGUUCCCAAUCUUCGCGCCUAGGGGAAAGUCCCCGGACCCUUGGCAGAAAGUGCCCCGCACGCAUGUGCGGCUGGUCGAUGCCGCAGCUCUCCUCUCCCGCCGAGAAGCACCCUCACCUCUGUGGGGGCGCCGAGCGGAAGGAGCGCGGCGAGGCCUCCCCUAGUCCAGAGAAUAGUUACGCAGGCAGUGCGCCCUGGCGCGCACCAACUCAACGGGGCUCAUUCUCAGCGCGUC
rnacentral:RNase_MRP_RNA from 1 species